UUUAAGUGCAGUUGUGGGUUUCCGUGUCCAACAUUUGACCGCCCAUCUUAUUUAAAAACUUUAUGGAAAACAUAAAAAAAAUAGUCAGAAAUAAAGUAUUACUUAUAUUUUAUCAUUUAAUAACAAUUAAAAUACUAAUCAUAAAAACUUUUCAAAUAAGACAGACAGACAAAUGUUAGAUAUGAACAGU
rnacentral:pre_miRNA from 1 species